AAUUCUGGCCUUCACUCAUCCAUUCAUACUUUACCAGUCAAGCCCUUUAAAUAUAUUAUAGUUAUUCCCAUGUGGGCAGAACAUGGCGCGCUUGUAUGUAAAUGUGCAUGCAAAUUCUUAGUGAAUAAAUGACAAGCAAUACUUCUUAAAUAAAAAAAAAAUGAUUACUCUUUCUUCCUUCCUUCAAGGAUAAAGCAGGCUUUAGUUAUAGUUAUAAUCGUAAUAGAUGGGCGAUCUAUCUUCUUUCUUUUUUUCUUCCUUCUUUCCCCUCCU
rnacentral:lncRNA from 1 species